GGGUUGGGGCGGCCGCUGCUACCGUCGUCGCCCAUCCUCGCGUCGCCCAUGGGGGCGCGGCGGGGGCUGCCGCAGGGCUGACCGCGGGCAGGGGCGCACCUCGCACCCUGAGCCCCGCUGGGAGCCGAGCAGAGGGAGCCGGGGGGGGGCCGGGCACUGCGGGCAGGGCGUGCUGCAGGGGCGGGCUGAGGGGCUCCCUGCACACCCGCACACACGCACACACACACACACACACAUACACACCCGCAGCCACACUCGCGCACACACACGGCGGCACCCGCCCCGCCUCCCCGCCGCCCUUCUCAUCCCCGUCCAUGGCGCCGGGCACGGCAGCCCCCCGCUCCGCACGUGGCGGAGGGGCGGCCCGGAGCGGGCCCGCAGCGCGGUGACUCCCCCCCGGCCCGGGGGCGGCGGCGGCAGGAGCUGAGAGCCGAUGGAAAGCGGGGGCGAUGCCCGAGCGGCCCCCCGGCGGGGAGGAGGCGGCCGCGGGCGGCUUCCAGCCGCUGCCGAGCCCGGCAUGAACGUGGAUGGGGCCGCCGCUGCCCCGCCGCUCCGCCCGCACGGCUCCAGGGACCCCAAGCUGGUCCACCAGCGGUUCCUGCGCAGGAGCGUGGUGGACUCGGACCAGGAGGAGCCAGCUUUCGACCUUCCCGAGUCGGAACAUCAGCGGAAAAUUAUCCUGCUCCCGAAAACCCGGAGGAUAAUCGCGGAGAGGGCGAAGGCGGGGCAGGGGCAGGAGAAGGGGUGCCUGGGGACAGAGCCCCCCGGGCAGCUGAAGCCGGGGCCAGCCCCCAGCGGUGCCCCGGGGGCGGAGGAGCAGAAGGAAGCCGGCAAGGAUGCGGAGAGGAAGGAGGCGGCGGAUGCUUCCAAGGACCAUGGCAAGGCGAAGAAAGAGGAGCCGGAGGAGGAGGCUGACAUGAAAGCCGUUGCCACCUCGCUGGAUGGCAGGUUCCUCAAGUUUGAUAUUGAACUCGGGAGGGGAUCCUUCAAAACGGUCUACAAGGGGCUGGACACUGAGACGUGGGUGGAAGUUGCUUGGUGUGAACUUCAGGACAGAAAAUUAACAAAAGUAGAGAGACAGAGAUUUAAAGAGGAAGCAGAAAUGUUGAAAGGUCUACAGCACCCAAACAUUGUAAGAUUUUAUGACUUCUGGGAAUCCUGUGUAAAAGGAAAAAGAUGUAUCGUACUGGUUACCGAACUGAUGACCUCUGGAACACUAAAGACGUAUCUGAAGAGAUUUAAAGUGAUGAAACCAAAAGUUCUGCGUAGUUGGUGCCGGCAAAUCCUGAAGGGUCUUCUUUUCUUGCACACGAGAACUCCACCAAUAAUUCACAGAGACUUGAAAUGUGACAAUAUUUUUAUUACUGGACCAACUGGAUCUGUGAAAAUAGGAGACUUAGGACUGGCAACCCUCAAGAGAGCUUCAUUUGCCAAAAGCGUAAUAGGUACACCAGAAUUUAUGGCCCCAGAAAUGUACGAGGAACACUACGAUGAAUCCGUUGAUGUUUAUGCUUUCGGAAUGUGCAUGUUGGAAAUGGCUACCUCAGAAUACCCUUACUCAGAAUGCCAGAAUGCUGCUCAAAUUUACCGGAAAGUAACCUGUGGUAUAAAGCCAGCAAGCUUUGAGAAAGUUACUGAUCCUGAAAUUAAGGAGAUAAUUGGAGAGUGCAUUUGCAAAAAUAAGGAAGAAAGAUAUGAGAUUAAAGAUUUAUUAAGCCAUGCCUUUUUUGCUGAAGAUACUGGGGUAAGAGUGGAACUUGCAGAAGAAGACCAUGGUAGGAAAUCCUCUAUUGCCUUAAGACUCUGGGUAGAAGAUCCUAAGAAACUGAAAGGAAAACCCAAAGAUAAUGGAGCCAUUGAGUUUACUUUUGAUCUGGAGAAGGAAACUCCUGAUGAUGUUGCACAAGAAAUGAUUGACUCUGGAUUUUUCCAUGAAAAUGAUCUCAAGAUAGUUGCAAAGUCAAUACGUGACAGAGUAGCGUUAAUACUAUGGAGAAGAGAGAGAAUUUGGCCUAGAAUACAGUCAGAGGAACGUCGAGAUUCUGAAUGCUUGGAGAAGCUGAAGACCCCACAUGCACAACAGGUUCAAGUCACAUACCUUUCUCACACCGGUCACCAUAUCCUGUCCGAGUCGGAGGAGCCCGAGGCAGACCAGCACCCCUUUCAGCAAAACCUGCCCACCAGCGUCACGUCUGUUGCAUCUGACAGCACAUUUGACAGUGGUCAGGGGUCCACUGUUUAUUCAGAUUCCCAGAGCAGCCAGCAAAGCGUCAUCUACUCAUCUCUGCCUGAUUCAGUACCUCCUGCUAUUCAACGGGUGUAUAGCCCACCGCUAAGUGAGAGCCAGGCCUUGCCCCAUAGCCUUCAGCAGCUGGGGCACUACCAGCAGCCCUCAGGGCCUGCCCUGCCUGUGGUUCAGGCUCCACCUGCAGUCGUGCCCCAGCGACCCCAGCACUACCAGGAGCCAGCGAUGACGUUCCCCGUGGUGCAGCCGACCACCGUCGCUUCCUUGCAGCUGGGGCAGUCACAGCCGGUGCUUGCCAGCCAGCAGCAACCCAUAUCACAGCAAACUCCUCUGCAGCAGGUGCUUGCCAGUCAGCCAGUCUGUCCGAUCCAGCCUGCAACCCACCUAUUGCCCCAGUAUCAACCCCAGACCUCUCAGGUGGCAGCUAGCAGCACACCACUAAAACCCCUUCAGAUUUCAACUGUGCCACAACUUCCACCCGUUGCCCCUUCCCAGAUUCCUCAGUUUCCUGUCAUUCCUGCAAUUACUCCUCUGGCAGGACUUGACAACCUUCCUCCAAACCUCUCUGAUAUACCUGCUGCAAACGUGCCCCCCAUACCUGCUCCUUCUCAAUAUUUUGCUCCAGCUGUGAUUUUACCGAGCCUCCCCAUGAACCCCACUCUGCCUAUGGCACCAAACUCCCCAGCCCUCCCCAUGCAGGCAGUGAAUCUUCCUCAUACAACUGUGGCUUCUCUGGUCUUGCCCUGCCAAACAAUAGUGCCAAAUAUGUCAGCUGCUACAAUACCAUUGCUUGCUGUGGCUCCGCCGGGAGUGUCAGCGUUGCCGCCACAUCACGCAGUGUCCCAGCUCUCCCAGCAGCAGAUGUACCAGACCACCUUCCAGCAGAUAAUUCAGAGCGAAGCGCCCUCUCCCCAUCACACGCAGAGCACGCAAGCAGUUUCCCAGCCGCAGCAACCUCCACCUCCUCAGUCACUUCAGCCAAGCAUAAUUCAUCCUUCAGAACAGACGUUGCCCGCGGCUGGGGCUGGUAACCAGCAGAUUACUGGACAUACUCAGUAUGCUUUGGAAACUGGAGCCCAGGUGCCGGUACUCCCAGUGCAACCUUCGAUAGUCAUGUCACCGCCUUUGCAGUUGCAGCCCGAACUAUUGCCUCCCCGCGUCGCUCCAGAAAGUAUUUCACAGAUCCAUGGCAGCCUUGCUACAGCUAGCCCACCAGUGCCCAUAGAUCACUGUCUGCCUCUUCAGCCUUCUGGUCUUCUGCAGCUUCAGCCAGAUCUUUCCCAGCCUCUGGGUCAGCAGCUCCCAGCUCCCAGCUCAGCUGUCCAGGCAGUUACAGAGACAUCGCAAGAGGAGCAGGCAAUACAGGACAAACUUCAAACUCUGUCACAGAGCUGUGAAAGCUACAUGAGUCCAGAUGUCGCUUCAGGUAAAGAGAUGAGUGACAGCUUCGAAGGAGCAAUAGGAAGUGGAAAACAAGAAGGAAAGUCUUCAAAGAAACAUAAGAAAUCUACACGUGCUCGUUCACGCCAGGAGAAGUCCAGCAGACCCAAACUGACCAUAUUAAAUGUUUGUAACACAGGUGAUAAGAUGGUGGAGUGCCAGCUCGAAACACACAAUCACAAAAUGGUGACUUUUAAGUUUGAUUUGGAUGGCGAUGCGCCGGAGGAAAUUGCUACAUAUAUGGUAGAGAAUGAAUUCAUAUUGCAGAGUGAAAAAGAGACAUUUAUUGAACAAAUGAAAGAUAUUAUUGAUAAAGCAGAAGAUAUGCUCAGUGAAGAUACAGAAGGAGAACGAAGUUCUGAUCAGGGAACAAGUCCCCAGCAGGAUACUGAUAGACUGGAAAUGAAUGAGGAGAAGCGGCAAUCUCAGGUGAAGACACCCGUGUAUCAACAGAAUGUUUUGCAUACUGGAAAAAGGUGGUUUAUUAUAUGUCCUGUUGUGGAAAACGCUACUACUGAUGCACCGGAAUUUUCUCCGCCAGUUCCUCAGAGUACACAGCAGUCUGAAGGCCCAGACCUGGAGCAGUCAGAUGAUCAGCAAGCGAGCUCUGCGGUGAUGGAUGUGCCUGGUGUCUUAGCUUGUCAGCAGCUUCCUCUACAAGCAAGCGUAUGUGACAGCCCUGUUGGAGCCUCUCCAUCUUUGGCACAAAUUCCUGCUGCAGCAUCUUCAGCCGGCUUACAGAGCCAGGCAGAGUUUUCAGCUCCAGCACCACCGGGAUCUGCUCCAAAUAUCCUCGAGCAGACGGCUGCUAACGGAGGUCAGCUGGAAUAUUCUCCACUAAAGGCAGCGAUGCCUGCUCAGCCUGGCACUCCUGCCCCCCAUGCUGCCUUGCUGGAGGAGCCUACCGAUGCUCACCUUACUCCUCAGCCCGUUCAGCAUGUGCAGCAGCCGGUAGACGAGAGCAUGUGUAUCCCUGAUGUGGAGAUAGCGUGUUGCAGUGUUGGGCCACCCAAAUCAGUCCCACCAGUUCCUGCAAAUGCAGCAGAGCUCUGCCCGCUCCCCGUGCUCUCAGAUGCUGUCGUUUUGGAACGGCAGCCUGCGGCUCAGAUCCCUCACUUGCCAGAGGCCAGCCAGCCUGGCAUGGUGCAGCACUCCUUUGUGAACCAAGUGUUUCCUACAGCUGUUGCAUCUGAUUCUCUCAGUCUGGCAGGGUCUCAACUUCAGAGUCCUACUCAGGUGUCAGUGACUGCAUCCCAGCAACACGUGAUGCUGCCCCAGACGCAGCCCAUAACCUGCACCAGCGUGGGGAUCAGCCUGCUGCAGCAGCAGCAACCGUGCACCGUGGAAUCAGAUGGAGAGGGGCCGCCCAGGGUGGACUUCGUUGACAACACAAUAAAAAGCCUUGACGAGAAGCUGCGCAAUUUGCUUUACCAGGAAUAUGUCCCUACUUCUUCUGCAUCAGCAGGAACUCCAGACACUUCUGUGCCAUUGGAACAGGCAGACAGUGAAUUUAACUUGACACCGUUUACUGAGGAUCAAGUUCCCAAGUUGGUGUUGGAUUUAAGAGAACCAGGCUGUAAUGUUGCAGACACUGGCCAGGAAGUGAAAGCUGCUGAGGCCCAAGUUGUGUCGCUUGUACCACCUGAGAUCUCACCUUACCCAGUACUGUCUGAAAAGUCUGAGGUCCCUGGUGUCGGUGCUGAUUCUGCAGAAGCAAGAGGUGGGUCAGCAAGCAGAAAAGGAUCAGCUGCAAGCAUCACUCCAGCUCCUGUGGCUCCAGCAAAAGGCCUCCUUCAGGUUGCACCUACAUCACCAAGCAUAGCUAAACAGAUGGAAACUUCUAAAAGGAACGAGAACGCAAAGACUACAACUUCAUCUACACACACAGAUAAUGUAAUGCAGAUAUCUACAGCAGAUGGGGUGAUAAAUAACCUUCAAAGGGAUGACUCUCUAGACUCCGGUUCCUAUGGAAAACAGGCUGAAACUCAUGAUAGUGGCACACCAGCCAAAACUAUUGGCAGGUUUUCAGUAAUCAGCACGCAAGAUGAAUUAACUUUAGCAGCGCCGCAUUGCUUAAGGUUCUCUGCACCCCCAGACGUCUAUCUGGAUGAGCUACCUUCCAGCCCUGAUCUGAAGACAGCUGUCCGACGGGUGCAGACAGCCUCUUCUGUUGAUGUCCUUUGUGACCAGGGUUCGAGUGAUUCUGCUGAUGAGCCUUUCCAUCGGCAGGCUGCUGCUGCUGCUGCUGCUCAACUAUCCCCACCGAGCAGUAGUGCGGCCACCGACUUAAUUAAAAAAGCAGCUGCUUUUCUGCAAAGGUCUGGAAAAGCUAGCUCACAAGGCCUCGAUUCACCUAAUGGGCAAGGAACAAAAAUUCCUACCAUCAACAUAACAUCUUUCCACUCGCAGUCGUCAUACAUGAGCAGUGACAAUGACUCAGAAUUUGAAGAUGCAGAUAUGAAGAAAGAACUGCAGAACCUGAGAGAAAAGCAUAUGAAAGAAAUUGCUGAACUUCAGACUCAGCAAAAGAAUGAGAUAGAGGCGCUGUACAUUCGGCUGGGGAAGCCCCUUCCUCCCAACAUGGGGUUCCUUCACUCUGCCCCACCAAGCAGCCGUCGCCGAAGAACCAGCAAAAAUAAAUUGAAAGGUGGAAAACUAUUAAACCCUCUGGUUCAACAGCUCAGGAGUGGAACAUCAAGCACAAGUAAUCUUUCAGACUCUAAAGACUCACCCCACAAAGAAACAACUAAAGCUCAGUCUGGAUCUCCAGAAACAACGGCGGUAACUUCUUCUGCAUCAGCCACAUUUGGGAAGUCUGUUCAGACACAGCAGCCAUGCUCUGUCAAAGCCUCUUUGUCUUCUGACAUCUGCUCCGGCUUAGGCCCCGAAGGAGGCGAUGUGAAUGCAAGCUCUGGCCAAGGCUGGACGGUUUUCCACCAAACGUCUGAGAGAGUGACCUAUAAAUCUAGUAGCAAACCUCGUACCAGAUUCCUCAGUGGACCUGUGUCUUUGUCCAUCUGGUCCACCUUGAAACGACUAUGUCUAGGCAAAGAUCACAGUAGUAGAUCCUCCACAAACAGUCUUGUAACGUGUCCUGAGCCCCAACCGCAAUCAACUCUGCAGGUUCAGGCCAACAACAGUAACAACAAGAAGGGAACCUUCACAGACGACCUGCACAAGCUGGUUGACCAGUGGACAAGCAAAACUGUUGGAGCUGCACAGGCAAAACCUUCUUUAAACCAACUGAAGCAGAACCAAAAAAGGCAGGACAUGGAGCCAAAGGCUAAUCCCAUGCAAACACAGAAUGAGACCUGUGGAGUUAAUUCAGUAAGAACAGGACUGGGGAAAAGGUGCAUUGUUCCAGUGUCUUGCCCCAUGUCAGCUGCACUAACUCCUGGAGUUUCACCAUCCCUGCCAGUGCCUAUGCCAGGUACUACCCCUUCUGGCCCAGUAACGCCCUAUGUGAUGCCUCUUUGUCAAUACGGAGGAGUGUUCCCCACGCCGCUUUAUGGAGUGCAGUGGUCGGGGGCGGCGGCGCGGCCGGGGCUGGUAGGAGGGCAGAGCCUUGCUCGCUUCUCGGCUCUCGGCAAAACUUGCUUGCAGAUGUACCCCGUGCCGCUGCAGCAGCCCGCGGCCGACCCGCCAGGCCCGCACAUGAGAACGACAUAGCUCUGUUGCCUGUCGAUAGGUAACGACGAUUUCGACGUUGUAACGUGGAGUGUUUGAUCUGUAGCUGCCAUACGUGUCGGAAGAGGUGUGGGUCUGCCUCCGGCCCCAGGCCAGGCCUGCUAGCAUACACAGCCAUACACCGCAUCAAGCAAUCACUGUGAAGGGUUUUCACAAAAGAUCGGUUGUUGUUAUGGCAAUAUUUGCAUAUAUUUCAUUGCUAAAGACACUUUAUUAUGUUGUGUUCUGAUGUUUUACACUUGCAAUUCUUAAAGUUGAUGUACUUGAAUUGAUGACUAGCAAAUUGUACUAACCCUGCAGGAGUACAGUGCCUUGAAUAUAAGCUUUUCAGUUCCAGCUGGAAAGAGAUAUACAAAUAUUUGAAAGGUGUAUUUUAUUUACAAUUUGCUUGUGAGUUAAAGUUCUUUUUAUUUGCAAUGAUAUCAAAGGUUUACAGUUGAAGUUCUUCAUCAGUUUCAUUCUGCUGUAAAUGCUUUACUUUUAAUUCAUGGGUUGAAUUUUCAUUACUGAGGCUUUCAAAAAAAUUGUGAGGUGAGAUUUGUUUGAGAUACUGAUGGAAAUUUGUGUUUGUACGAGGAGUAGUGAAAUGCACAUUUUAAAGACAGGAGCAUUUACAGGAUGAUCCCAGUCAGAUGUAUAUAAGAACAGGUAAUAGCUUCCUUCGGGCAGUGCAAUUCGUUCCCUUACGCAGUCUCUGGUGAAGUUGCUGUAGAUGGCAACUUCCUUCGUAACAGGCAGGCAAAUACUGUUUUCUUCCAGAUCAGCACCAAAUUGGACUAUGUUUUCUUUCCCCUACUGGGCUUUUAUAAUUCAGUUAAAUUACAAAGCCAUGCAUGUUUCCUAAGUGAGACCUCGAUCACAGGAGCACGUCCCCAGGUCCCUGUAAGAGCCGUGUAAGUACGGCACGUGCGUGCGCUCUGCCUUCGUUCAGUUCAGCAGCCAAGGUUAAGAACGGGGUUUUGUCACUGAAGUGCUAACCGUAUUCACAUCAAAGUGGAAUAAAAAUGUGAAGCUGCUAUUUUUUUUUUUUCCGUAUAUGACCAAUGAAUGCUUCAGUUUUGGAGUCUCACCACCUUUUGUUUGAUUUUUUUUUUUUAAUCUUGAUUAAGUUUGCACUGUAGGUGGCAUGGACACCUCUCUCCUGUUUGCAAGUUGCUUUUUGCCCAUUUUACUGUGCAUAGAGUCUACAUCUGCACCUCUCAGUCUAAAGGCACAAGAUAACCACUAAAACCGAUUUGCUGAUGGUAAGUUUCAUUUUAAUAGAAAGCACUAAGGGCCAUCAUUACAGGCACAGGUAACAAAACAUGCAGUCAAAUUUGGAGGCGCGUUGCUCUGUAUCUCUACUGCAAUGACAUUCUAUACUGUCUGCUGACGGGCAGAGAUGUCUUGUGCUGCCAAGCUGUGAAUUGUAUAGUUCUAUUGUACUUUGAGCAUUAUAUCUGUCUAAAUUAUUUUGUUUGUACCCUUUGAAUAUAUUAUUCCAUCAAUUCAGUUAGAAUUGAAUUUUAUAGACAAUUAUGCAGAGUCUUCUGCCUGGGCAAAAUACUUACUGUAGUAAGAGAUUUCUGUUCUCUGUACCAUGUAUCUUUUAAUUUGUUUGGGUUUUUUAGAUUCAUGUCUGUAUGCUUCAUGAGCAAACAUGGAAAAUAUGUUCUCACACCAGUUUUCCUUCAGCUUGCACUGAAUCUUACAGUUUAUGUCGCUAUUGCCUGUUGUAUAGUCCAUCCCUUGUAUACUGACAAAGUCAGUGGCACUAAAAGCCCCAAGAAAUUGUAUAGAUUAAAAAGAAGAAAAAUAAACAUUUUGUGCUUGAAAACUGUGUGAACACCCCAGUGUUUUUCUGAAACGUAGAAGCGUGUUAAUUCCCAGCUCUCCCAGGUAAUUCUGCGUUUGUUUUCCAGACUUCUAUCCUUUGUCUUGUGCGUAAGGAGCAGAUGCGAUGCCUUCGCUGUUCCUCAGCCUGUGCCCAGAGCUGCCAUGUCCCACCUCCUGCAGCUGUAGACCUGAAAGUGUGCACCAGAAGUGGCGUAGUGCCGCCUCGCAGGCUGCGUUGCUUGAGACCUCCCUGCUGCUGCGGUAUUUCUGGUGUUCUGCUGCUGCAGAGCAGGCCAGACCAGAACAGUACGUGGGUUAUUUUAAGCAGCUGGUAUCUUCAGACGGUACAAAUGAGGAUGCUAGAGUUUGAUUCUGAAAAUGCGACCGCCAGCGACUGACACGUGGCCCCCGCAGCUACGGUGCCAAGCGCCAGGUCCCGCUGCAGCUAAGGAGGAGGAAGAGGAAGAUGGGAAAUGAUUUGUCGUGUGUGAGAAAUUCUGUGCCAUUCUGGUCCAUUCUACACAAUUUUGUAACUUCUUUCUAAUCAUUUUUUAUUUAUAGUUGGAAAUACAAAAAUGUUAUGCAAAAAUAAAGGAAAAUUAUUUUGGGGGAAAAGGAUUUUGUUCCAUAUCGUUCCCUUCUGUUGUAAGCCAGGUUCCUGUGAGCAGCUUCUGGAGAAGAGGGAGGAGGAGGCAUUCUUUCCAAUACUUUUUGUUUUACUCAGUUAAUUGUAAUUUAAGUCAUUUUCAAAAAAUAAGCUAGGCACAUGUAUUUGGGUUGUAGUUAAAAGAAGAUAGUCCAAAUGAAUUUCUCACAGUCAGAGCUGUUCUUCUGUAAAGAGAAUGCUCUGUUUUAAAUCUGGUUAAAUCAAGUAAAGAAACCUACAGAGACUUCACUGGAGAGUAACUUUGUGCUGUCACUUCCUUUCUCCCCCCACCUUUCUUUUUCUUACAGACCAGCCACAUUUUCUUGCCAGAGUUGAAUACAGUUCUCAAGUUGCUUCUAAUUUUAAAUGUAAGCCUAAAAUCCUUCUGCAGACAAGUCAGUAAUUGGAGCAAUUUUUAAAAGAUUUUAAAGUGCCUUCAACAAGCUGAAAUGAUGUGGUGGGAGAUUUCUUUUUCUUGAUUUGCUGAUGAUAGGCUUCACCUGUCUCCUGGGCUGAGGUGGUGUACAGACCUGUUUGUAGCAAUAAUCUCAUGAGUAAUCAUUUAUUAUAAAGGACUACUUAACUGUUUUUUCUUUAGAAAGGUGGCUUUUAGCACACUGUUCCUGAGGAGCAGGAGAGAGUGCUGCUUUUGCUGUUAUGUUUUGGCCCCAAACUCUUCCAACCUGCAGCUGAGCACCCAAGAACUUCGGUGGCUCCCCCCGUAGGCAGUGUCAGACUGCGAUGUUUCGUUCGCUCAGUUUUUAGUACCACAGAAAUGAGAAUUUCUAGUUGCCCGCAAGCCUUUCUGUAUCGUCCCUUCUCGUAGCUGGAGCCUGGCAUUUUGUUUUGUUGUUAUCUGCCAUGUCUGUCUCUUCCAACUCUGAGUUCUAAAUAAUAAAUCUUAUUUUGAUGCU